CCCUCCUCUCCUUCACGUGAAAAAGAAAAAAAAAAACAAGAAACCUCAAAAACCCUCAUUCUCUCAUUCAGCAACCACGUGAACCCACCCCUGCUUCACGUUGCUGCAGCUGUCCACGCCGCCUCCACCGCCGGCGUUUUCCCUCCCCGUCGCCGCCGCACCACCGCGCGCCGCACCACUUGCACCGCCACUGCGGCCCUGCCUAGCCGACCUCCCUCCUUUCUCCUCCACACACGCACUCUCUUAUGUGCUUCUUGCGCGAACACGCAACAACCAAGUGCGCCCACCGCAGUCACCACCUCCAGCCGCGUCGCCCGUUCUCCGCGACCACCUCCCUUGCUGCCGCGCCGUGCACCACCGCCCAGCCUCUCCUCUCCUCUUUAGUUUGGCGGAGAAUUCUUUGUGGGUGACUUUUGAAUUCGUUAAAGUGGCCUAUCAGUUUGUUUACACAAGUCUCUAAGGAUCAAUAAGCAUUGUCCAUCUGCAGGUUUGAAGAUGUUGCAUCAUUGAGAUCGGGAAUAGAGAGCUUGUAUUUAGUUUUGAUUUGCUAAGUUAACUUGGGUUUGUUAAUUGGGACUUUAAACUUGUCGUACUAUUUAUAUUUCCUUAUUUUCGUUGGAUGAUUCUUGGGGACUAAAUCUGUAAUAGAUUAUUUAUAAACCUAAAGUUAGUUUUAUGUUUUCCGCUGCAAAAUUCUGAAUAAGCCGUUACGUUUUCACACGGGCGAUAAUGCCUUGAUAAUUCUCUACGUUUUAUGUUAAAAGAUUAUUUUAGAAAAGAGAGAAUUGUCGGGGU